UCGGGUUGUAAAGUACUUUCAGUAGGGAGGAAGGCAGUGUCGUUAAUAGCGGCAUUGUUUGACGUUACCUACAGAAGAAGCACCGGCUAACUCCGUGCCAGCAGCCGCGGUAAUACGGAGGGUGCGAGCGUUAAUCGGAAUUACUGGGCGUAAAGCGCAUGCAGGCGGUCUGUUAAGCAAGAUGUGAAAGCCCGGGGCUCAACCUCGGAACAGCAUUUUGAACUGGCAGACUAGAGUCUUGUAGAGGGGGGUAGAAUUUCAGGUGUAGCGGUGAAAUGCGUAGAGAUCUGAAGGAAUACCGGUGGCGAAGGCGGCCCCCUGGACAAAGACUGACGCUCAGAUGCGAAAGCGUGGGGAGCAAACAGGAUUAGAUACCCUGGUAGUCCACGCCGUAAACGAUGUCUACUUGGAGGUUGUGGCCUUGAGCCGUGGCUUUCGGAGCUAACGCGUUAAGUAGAC
rnacentral:rRNA from 1 species